rnacentral:rRNA from 1 species
AGUGAACGCUGGCGGUAGGCCUAACACAUGCAAGUCGAACGGCAGCACAGUAAGAGCUUGCUCUUACGGGUGGCGAGUGGCGGACGGGUGAGGAAUACAUCGGAAUCUACUUUUUCGUGGGGGAUCACGUAGGGAAACUUACGCUAAUACCGCAUACGACCUACGGGUGAAAGCAGGGGAUCUUCGGACCUUGCGGGAUUGAAUGAGCCGCUGUCGGAUUAGCUAGUUGGCGGGGUAAAGGCCCACCAAGGCGACGAUACGUAGCUGGUCUGAGAGGAUGGUCGGCCACACUGGAACGUGGACACCGACCAGACUCCUACGGGAGGCAGCAGAGGGGAAUAUUAGACAAAGGGCGCAAGCCUGAUCCAGCCAUACCGCGUGGGUGGAGAAGGCCUUCGGGGUGGAAAGCCCGUUUUUUGGGAAAGAAAAGCAGCAGGUUAAUACCCCGCGGGUCUGACGGUACCCAAAGAAUAAGCACCGGCUAACUUCGUG